GGUGUGGUUGUUGCUGGCCCUCUCGGGGGCAUGUGCACACCCACCAUCCUCAUCUCUCCACCUGUGCACCUCUUGUAGACCUGGAUUGACUUUCCGAGGCAACUCGGUCGGGAAGAUUGCUGCGCUCUGUGAGCCAGCUUUCUUUGCAUGUCCAGGCCUAUGUUUUUCAUAUACCCCUAUAGAAUGUAACAGAAUGUAUUAUUGGGCCUUGUGCCUAUAAACCUUAUACAACUUUCAGCAACGGAUCUCUUGGCUCUCGCAUCGAUGAAGAACGCAGCGAAAUGCGAUAAGUAAUGUGAAUUGCAGAAUUCAGUGAAUCAUCGAAUCUUUGAACGCACCUUGCGCUCCUUGGUAUUCCGAGGAGCAUGCCUGUUUGAGUGUCAUUAAAUUCUCAACCUUAUUAACUUUUGUUGAUAAUGGAUUGGAUUGUGGGGGUUUCUUUUGCUGGCUUCUUCACAGAGAUCAGCUCCCCUUAAAUGCAUUAGCUGGUGCCCCGCGUGGACCAUCUAUUGGUGUGAUAAUUAUCUACGCCGUGGAUGUCUGCAAUCAUAUGGGUUUCGCACUGCUUCUAACCGUCUGUUCAUUCGGACAAUACAUGACAAUUUGACCUCAAAUCAGGUAGGACUACCCGCUGAACUUAAGCAUAUCAAUAAGCGGAGGAAAAGAAACUAACAAGGAUUCCCCUAGUAACUGCGAGUGAAGCGGGAAAAGCUCAAAUUUAAAAUCUGGCGGUCUCCGGCCGUCCGAGUUGUAAUCUARARAAGUGUUAUCCGCGCUGGACCGUGUA
rnacentral:rRNA from 1 species